AUCGACCAAUCCGUAUAAGGACAAUUAUUGAACAGAAUUAAAAAAAAAAUUGAGUUGUACGCUCAAUAUUAACCAAAGUUUUGGAAUUAAACAAACAUUAAAAAAGCAACAAAAUUCAAAACCGACAGGACUGAUAAAAGGGACUCAUAGUCUUAGUCCUUUUUCUCAAUCUUAACACAUUUGAGCUUGACAGUCUUUAUAGCAGACGCAUCUCCAGCAUCAGCAGAGGCAGAGGGGGUGAAAUCCAUCAAAACUUCUGAGCUUGAUGUUAAUAUAAAAAAAGUCCAAAACAUACCAAUCAACAUGUUAUAAGAGAGCAUGGAUGGGAUGUUAUGGUGGAAAGCCAUGUUUGAUUUCAUGACAAAAAGAAAAGGAGAAGAGUUUGUUUACGGUUCAUUAGAGGUUGAAUAUAAAGAAUAUUAAAACACAAAAUUUGAUGAAAUUCU
rnacentral:lncRNA from 1 species